AUUAUGAGUUUCACUUUUGAUUAUCUUAAUGUGCUAUACGUGUGCUAUGGUAAUUUUAAAAAUUAUUUGUUUUCAUUCUUAGGAUAUUUACAAGAAUACCCACAAAAAAUGAAGAAGGAACCUAUUGAUAAGAUCUCAAACAGACGUGUCUCUAUUUUUACACCUGGUUGGGAUAUAUCUGUCGGAGUAAAAACUACUGAUCUAAGCCAACUGAUUCUCAAAGAGUGGAAAAAGAAGAAGCAUGAGCAGUAUGUAUCCUAAAUUAUAUACAAAUUUGUUACAAGAAAUCUAACAUUAUAUAUACCUUCAAUAUAUAGGCGGCGCAUGAAAAAGGCUAUGGAAGAAUUAAAACCUUCAACAACUCCUCAGAUCAUACGUAUUUGGAAUAAAGUCCAACAAAUAAGAAAAAAGAUUAACAGUGGCCAAACAACUUUUCUAAAUAUAGUAAGUCUUCUCUUAUUUUCAUACAAAAGUAUACUAUAAAUUCAAAUUGCAUUCAAUUUUCAAAUAUAAAUAAAAUUGCAUUUUUUGUCAGUUUUACAAGCAUCACACCCGUCUCAAAGUACAAAGGUUGAAGUACAAGAUUAAGUAUUCUACAAGUAACUGGAGUAAAAGUAUUGCCAUGAGAAAAUUGUCAAACUUAAAGAUUAACCAUGAAAAUCUAAAGCAUCAAGUGCAAGCAAAUGGGUGGCAAGCAUGACUUUGAUUUCACACGUAGGCGCUAUGUUUACAUAUGUACAUGUUGUACAUAUUUUGCUUUGCUUCAUAUAUUAGGAGUUCAUCCCUAGCUAGCCUAUAACUUUGAUUGAAAACUUAUAAAUCUGAAACAAUUUGAUUUAAGGACAUUAAGUGUUGUCAAUAUGUAUUUAGAAAUCAAAUUACAUGUCAUAUUUUCAUAUUUUUUUUAUUUAUAAAUAGUAUAUGUUUUCCCA